rnacentral:rRNA from 1 species
UGGGGAAUUUUGGACAAUGGGCGAAAGCCUGAUCCAGCCAUUCCGCGUGCAGGAUGAAGGCCCUCGGGUUGUAAACUGCUUUUGUACGGAACGAAACGGCCUGUCCUAAUACGAUGGGCUAAUGACGGUACCGUAAGAAUAAGCACCGGCUAACUACGUGCCAGCAGCCGCGGUAAUACGUAGGGUGCGAGCGUUAAUCGGAAUUAGUGGGCGUAAAGCGUGCGCAGGCGGUUAUAUAAGACAGAUGUGAAAUCCCCGGGCUCAACCUGGGAACUGCAUUUGUGACUGUAUAGCUAGAGUACAGCAGAGGGGGAUGGAAUUCCGCGUGUAGCAGUGAAAUGCGUAGAUAUGCGGAGGAACACCGAUGGCGAAGGCAAUCCCCUGGUCUGCUCCUGACACUCAGACUCGAAAGCUAGGGCAGCGAACGGG